ensembl:lncRNA
GUUUCCCCACAAUUAUGCUGAGAUAUAAACCGUUGCUAGGAUCAAAGUGUACACAGUACUUUAAAAGGAAGAAAAAUUUAUAAGACCUUUGACUGACAACCUACAAAAGCAAAAGCUGAGUAAGGAUACCAACACUUGAAUCCAAGGAUAAUGGAAAAAUAACAUCUGACUGGAAUAAAUGGAUCACAUAUAUAAGCCAUGCUACCAUGCUACUUAUGUGAACUGAAAUACGGAUAAGGAAGCAUAUCUGGUUCUAAUUUCUGAACUCAACACCAGAUGUUUUCAAGAUGGUGAGACUCUAAAGAAUGGAACUUACAAGGAACGGCCCUGCUCUGUGGGUGGAGAAAGGGAAGAAAUGACAUAAAAAAGACAACCUUACUGUAUGCCAAAGAAGCAUUCCCAACUACCUGGAAUAAUCUGCAUAAGUCAAGAUGAAUUUCCCCAUAUACAUCAAAAAGAGUGACAAGCACUUCUGUUUAUCAGCUCGCCUGUGGGGACUGCCACAUGGUAACAGCAUAAAGAGAAUUCAUAAAUUACUUUAUCCUCAUACUUUGAAAAUAUGUAAUUCCUGAUAAAUGUUAAACAUUUUGAGAGAUGUACAUUAUUUUGAAAUCUUUGCAUAAAAGGACACUUAACACUAAUGAAUCUAUCUUCAGGGCAGCAGUGGAGAUGCAGACAUAGAGAACACGUUUGGACACAGUGAGGGAGGGAGAAGGUGGAAUUAUUUGAGAGGGUAAACAUAUGCAUUGCUGCUACUGCUAAGUCACUUCAGUCAUGUCCAACUCUGUGCGACCCCAUAGACGGCAGCCCACCAGGCUCCCCUGUCCCUGGGAUGCUCCAGGCAAGAACACUGGAGUGGGUUGCCAUUUCCUUCUCCAAUGCAUGAAAGUGAAAAGUGAAAGUGAAGUCGCUCAGUCAUGUCUGACUCCUAGCGACCCCAUGGACUGCAGCCCAUCAGGCCCCUCCGUCCAUGGGAUUUUCCAGGCAAGAGUACUGGAGUGGAGUGCCAUUGCCUUAUGCAUUACCAUAUGUAAAACAGAUAGCUGGUGGGAAUUUGCUGUAUAACACAGGGAACUCAAAGCCAGUGCUUUGUG